CCCUUAGAUGUUCUGGGCUGCACACGUGCUACACUGGCAGGUUCAGCGAGCUUCAUGCCCUGAUCUGAAAGGAAUGGGAAAUCUUUUCAAAACCUGCCGUGCUUGGGAUAGAUGUUUGCAAUUAUUCAUCUUCAACGAGGAUUGCCUUGUAAGCGCACGUCAUCAGCGUGCAUUCAAUACGACCCUGUAUUCUGUACACACCGCCCGUCGCUCCUACCGAUUGAAGUUUUCGGUGAGUUGACAGGAGGAUUUUUUUGAAACUGGUUCGCCAGUGGAUUUUAGAUCCAAAUGCCAACGAAUCGAUGGCUUUAGAGGAAGGAGAAGUCGUAACA
rnacentral:rRNA from 1 species